CCUACGGGAGGCAGCAGUGGGGGAUAUUGCACAAUGGGGGAAACCCUGAUGCAGCGACGCCGCGUGGGUGAAGAAGCGCCUCGGCGCGUAAAGCCCUGUCAGCAGGGAAGAAAAUGACGGUAACUGAAGAAGAAGCCCCGGCUAACUACGUGCCAGCAGCCGCGGUAAUACGUAGGGGGCAAGCGUUAUCCGGAUUUACUGGGUGUAAAGGGGGCGCAGACGGCGAUGCAAGCCAGGAGUGAAAGCCCGGGGCCCAACCCCGGGACUGCUCUUGGAACUGCGUGGCUAGAGUGCAGGAGGGGCAGGCGGAAUGCCUGGUGUAGCGGUGAAAUGCGUAGAGAUCAGGAGGAACACCGGUGGCGAAGGCGGCCUGCUGGACUGCAACUGACGUUGAGGCCCGAAAGCGUGGGGAGCAAACAGGAUUAGAUACCCUAGUAGUC
rnacentral:rRNA from 1 species